rnacentral:rRNA from 1 species
CGGGUGAGUAACACGUGAGUGACCUGCCUUUUAGACUGGAACAACUUACCGAAAGGUGAGCUAAUGCCGGAUGAGUUAUAUAAGUGCAUGUUUAUAUAGGAAAAGUUGGGGAGACCUGACGCUGAAAGAUGGACUCGCGUCCCAUUAGCUAGUUGGUAGGGGUAAUGGCCUACCAAGGCGACGAUGGGUAGCCGGCCUGAGAGGGUGGCCGGCCACACUGGGACUGAGACACGGCCCAGACUCCUACGGGAGGCAGCAG